CUCCUCCUCCUCCUCCUCCACCACCAUGGUUUCUCCCCUUGCUCGCCUAUUCUCUCCUCUCUCCUCCUCUUCUUCCUCUCCUUCCUCCUCCCCAUCCUCCUGCUCCUCCUUUCCUCCCUCCAAGGUUGCCCAUCGUCCUCCCCCGCUCUCUCCUCUGUCUUCUUCCUCUAGCUCCUCCUCCUCCUCCUCCUCCUUGCUUUCUCCAAUCCCGCCUUCCCUCUUUCCACCCUCCUUUCCCUCUUCCUCCAGCUCCUCCUCCUUGCUUUCUCCCCUCCCUCCCCCCCAUCUCCACCCUCCUCUCCCUCUUCCUUCAGCUCCUUUUCCUCCUCCUGCUUCUAUUGUCUUCAUUCUCCUUACCCACAUUGUCCUCCUUUACCACUGACUGGCUGGACUUGCAGGAUCACGGAUGAGGACGACCUCAAGAUCUACUUUCCAAGGCUGCCCUCACUGUCCUCCCUGUAUUCUCCCAUUUCUUCCUCCUCCUUACCCUACUCCCCCCUUCCUACUUCUCCUCUUCCACAGGUUUCUCCAGUACCAGCAGAUGGGAGUCGGAUCUUCACGGAGGAGAACAACAUUUCUCUUCAGAGGCCGCCCUCUGUCUCCUCCUCUUGCUCCUCCUGCUGCUCCACCUGUUGCUCUUCUUGUUGCUUCUGCUGUUCUCGCUGCUAUUGCAACUCCCCCUGCAGCUCUUGCCCCCUCCCUGCUGUCUGCUCUCCUCCUUCCUCUCUGUCUGUUUCUAACACCUGUCCUUGUGUUUCUCCUCCUCAGCCCCCGCAGGUCUCCAAGCCCACUUUGGCUACUCGGGCUCCUGUCAAGCCUUGUGCUCCAGCAGCGGUUCUGAGCGGCCGAAUUGGGCAGGUCUCCAAGCCCACUUUGGCUACUCAGGCUCCUGUCAAGCCUUGUGCUCCGGCAGCGGUUCUGAGCGGCCGAAUUGGGCAGGUCUCCAAGCCCACUUUGGCUACUCGGGCUCCUGUCAAGCCUUGUGCUCCGGCAGCGGGUCCGAGUGGCUGAAUUGGGCAGGUCUCCAAGUCCACUUCAGCUACUCAGGCUCCUGUCAAGCCUUGUGCUCCGGCAGCGGUUCUGAGCGGCCGAAUUGGGCAGGUCUCCAAGCCCACUUCAGCUGCUCAGGCUCCUGUCAAGCCUUGUGCUCCGGUAGCGGGUCCGAGCGGCCGAAUUGGGCAGUUGUCCAAGCCCACGUCGGCUACUCGGCCUCCUGUCAAGCCUUGUGCUCUGGCAGCGGGUCCGGUUCCAAAGUGGGUAAGGAACCUGCGGGCCCUCAUGAAGCAGCGCAACAGCCAGCAUGGCUGCCUGACAGGUAAGAGAGGUGCUGGGCCUCCAGCAGGCCAACCUCCAGGUCAGAGGUCUCGCAAUUAAACUCUUACAUUUAAUAUAGUUUAAGUCCAGUUUUUUUUUUUAAGUUUAACUGAACAUGAUUUAUGUUGGAUGUGAUCUGGUCAGACUUUAUUUGAAUGAAUCUGUUGUGAUGAUGUCUGAUCGAUCUAUUCCAACUUUAUUUGAAUAGAUUUUAUCUUAUUCUGCUUUAUAUAUUUUCUCUUUGUAUAGUGUGAUUUAUGUUGGAUGUGAUUUGAUCAGACUUUAUUUGAAUGAAUCUGUUGUGAUGAUGUCUGAUCAAUCUAUUCUGACUUUAUUUGAAUGAAAUUAAAUUGACUAUCUAUUGUUUGUGGCCCUGCGAUGGACUGGCGAGCUGUCCAGGGUGUCUCUGCCUUCGCCCUGAGUCGGCUGGGAUAGGCUCCAGACCCGCGUGACCCUACAGAGGAUCAAGCGGAGUAAAGAAAAUGGAUGGAUGGAUGGAUGGAUGGAUGGAUGGAUUUUGUGUGAUUCCAACUGAACUCUGUCCUUGUGAGUGGCACUCAGGUCAGGGUGCCUUUCAGAGGUGUGGGUGGAUCUGGGGGGUAGCGCCCUCACAGUGAAGCUCCGCUCUGUCUAAAGGUGAGAAGGAUGCAGACAGCAUGUCAUGAAGUAGUAAUAUGUGUGUCUGCGUCCCAUCCUGGACCACAGUGGAGUCCACAGUGACAAGGACCAGAGUUCAGUGGAAUCACACUGGGGGAGGAAGCUUUCAUGGGCCGCUGCACAGCAGUGGCCCGUGACAAGGUAAGUUUUAGGUUUUGAUUUUAUAUUCAUAAUACACAAAGUUUUUAAAUAUCCAAUAGAAGGUGAGAAAUAUUCUGACAUGUUCUCCUGUUGUUUUUUUCAGCCCCAGGUCCCAGCUCCAGCAGACCCAUGAAGAUGACCAACCGAGCCCAGCAGAGACGACCCCAGAGACUACAACCAGACGACAGGACAACUUUCUAGGGAGCAGAAUGCAGUGCUGCUUCCUGGCCCCCAACGAUUUCAACAAGGAUGGAACAUCAAGGAGAAAAAAGUCAUUAAGAAGAAAAGGAUGAUGGGAACUAGAUCCAGGAGCAGUGCAUAAGAUGUGAGACCACUCAACUAAAACAAGAGCUCUCUCUCCAAGACACCCAGUAAAAUGAAGGAUCAAAUCAGGACAAGAAACUAGAUAAAGAGCAGCCACAGUAUGUGAACUCAGACAAUGGAAGAGGGGAUGCUUAUUAUAGUGACACAAAAGGAGGAAGUCGGAGUACAAAGAAAAAGCCACACAGCCACAGAGAGAACAUGGAUGGAAAGAACCAGACGACCAGCAGAUUUGUACCAAUAUAAAUACAAUGAACCUAGUGACAGUGUAUUGUUAUAUACUACUACUGAAUGUGAAUCUCACACAUGUUUCUGUGAUUCUUUUCUCCCAACACUGUGACUUCAGAAUCUAAGAAGAUAAAGAAACAGUUCGAGGAGCCUCCAGACAAUCAACGACAAAAGAAACAUGUCAGAGAACAGGAGGAAGAUGAAUAACAGGAUCAAAGAGAGAAAAAGAAACAGACCCAAGAAGAAGAAGAAGAGACAGACCCAAGAAGAAGAAACAGACCCAAGAAGAAGAAGAAACAGACCCAAGAAGAAGAAGAAGAUCCAAGAAGAAACAGGCCCAAGAAGAAGAAACAGACCCAAGAAGAAGAAGAAACAGACCCAAGAAGAAGAAGAAGAUCCAAGAAGAAACAGACCCAAGAAGAAGAAGAAACAGACCCAAGAAGAAGAGCUCCAGAUUACUCCGAAGGUAUCUCUGGAUCUGGAGCUACAAGUUUAGAUCUGCUGUUACUGGCCUCACCCACCUGCAAAGAGUUCAUGUUCUCUCCCUCCUCUGUACCCUCAUUCCAAACGGAGGUUUUUUUUUCAACUUCCUGGCAACAGAAAUUUUUUUUCCUCCACACUGCUGCCAAAUGUUUGAUCUGAUCAAACUGCAAUAAGAGAGAGUCUUAAAUAAAAAGCCAAAACAAGAGAACUGUAUCUGUUUGUUCAGACGUUUGACAUUAUGGACUCUUCCUGUAACCUUAUUCUAUGGUUAGAAAAUCACGUUAGUCUAAAAAUGUGUUUUCAAAGCACUGGUUUCUCAUAAACACCUGUGACUCAGACAAACUGUCCAGCAUUUGCAUGUAUGAAAGGUUGUUUAAUAACUUGGGAUAAAUAUACAGGAUAGUAUUUUCACUGAAUACACAAAUGCUGCUUAUUUUCGUGUUAACAGACAGUUUUGGGUUAGUUGUUCUUUCCAGUGCUUGUUUAAUUUACAAAAAACACAUUAGAUAAUGAUAUAAGAAAGUGAAAACAAUAUAACAACUCAAAUCACAAAUAGAAAAUAUGAAGUAAAACACAUCCAAAUCAGAGAGACAGCACCCAUGACUACAUGUCACCUCCUGAUUGUGUUGCCUUUACUGAAGUCCAGAAGUUUAACAGGUGCAGCAGCUUCUGACCUCUGUGGACUGAGCUGAAAUCCAUUCCAGAGCAACAAAAAUCUGAUUAUUUUAACCUACUGAUAGGUUCUUCUUCCCUCCUACUACUCUCUGCUCUUCCUGCUUCAUCCUGGAUUCUAAAUAAUCCUAGUUAUGAUGGACUUUAAUAUGUAGCUAUGGUCUGAUAACUAAUAAACAAAUGCUGCAUUUCUAAACCAAAAAAAAGCUACAUUU